GAUGAACGCUGGCGGCGUGCCUAAUACAUGCAAGUCGAGCGAACGGACGAGAAGCUUGCUUCUCUGAUGUUAGCGGCGGACGGGUGAGUAACACGUGGAUAACCUACCUAUAAGACUGGGAUAACUUCGGGAAACCGGAGCUAAUACCGGAUAAUAUUUUGAACCGCAUGGUUCAAAAGUGAAAGACGGUCUUGCUGUCACUUAUAGAUGGAUCCGCGCUGCAUUAGCUAGUUGGUAAGGUAACGGCUUACCAAGGCAACGAUGCAUAGCCGACCUGAGAGGGUGAUCGGCCACACUGGAACUGAGACACGGUCCAGACUCCUACGGGAGGCAGCAGUAGGGAAUCGUCCGCAAUGGGCGAAAGCCUGACGGAGCAACGCCGCGUGAGUGAUGAAGGUCUUCGGAUCGUAAAACUCUGUUAUUAGGGAAGAACAUAUGUGUAAGUAACUGUGCACAUCUUGACGGUACCUAAUCAGAAAGCCACGGCUAACUACGU
rnacentral:rRNA from 1 species